GGUGUAUCUUUCUUAUGUAACUCCGUUGUCUUCACAUGGUAUGCUUGGAAAAAGAAAAAAAAUUACAAAAAAUUGGGUAAAUAAAAUGCACAGCAGAUUAAAAUAUGAAUAGGAUAAAAGAAUACGGUAAGCGAAGUACACAUGAGGGUUAACAGUGAUUAGGACUGUCAAAAAAGUUGUUGAGAACAGCUAGAGAAAAGCUUGCCUUUGACAUAUUCUGGGAGAAGUAGUCAAAAGAUUAGUACUCUCUUGUUUCUUCUUUGAAGCUGAAUCAGGACGAGGAAAAUUGCAGAUUGCAGAAUCAGUGGGAGAAAUUUCGUCCAUUGGCUGCAGUGCUUGCCAGUGCCCUCAAGUCUAUUCAGAGUAAAAGAAUUACAUGUGAAAAGGGUGUUUAAACAGAGCAAACAAAAAUCUGUUCUAUUCUUCUCAACAUACAGUUGUCCAAGAAAAACAUCUAAUGGUUAGGUAUUGAUCCGGAUUCAUGCUUUCAUGAGCCUCAUAUGAAUAUGAAGAUGCUAGUCCUUUCAGGGAAAAAGCUUUCCCCUUCUCUUAUUUAGCUAUUUCCAGUGUUUUUAGAGCCAAAUUGUUGAGAGGUGCUAUCAUGUUCUAGAAUUGGG
rnacentral:misc_RNA from 1 species